rnacentral:lncRNA from 12 species
UGUCUUCAGGCCGAAGCCUCAGUGAUUUCUGAAUAUGAGCUGGAGAGGAAGCUGGAGUGAUUUGCACCAAUCUUUCUAGAUCUCUCUUUCCUAUAACUGCAUGUCCCUCUGGCUCUCAAAAAUUUUUUUUGCCCUUCUACUUCAGAGUGGAAGACUGAGGAAUUGAGGAUGAAGUCUGUUCAACCUAGAUACGUAAAUGGGAUUUUGUGACCACUUCUGAUAUGAUUUUCAUAUGUAGAUGAAUAGCCAGGAUGAAUUUUCAUACUAACAUUGGAUCAACUCUUCAUUCCUGAAGAGGCUCCAUACUUCCACUGCCUUGGGUUUAGCAGAAAUACUGUGUGAGAAAGAGAAUCAGGGAUGGACACACACGGCAGGUUUGUAUCUGUGUGUGUAUAAGUGAUUUUAGGUAGGUGACAUACUAUGAAUUCAUUUCACAUUUUAAAGCACUAAUUACACUUUGAGCUUAUGUAUUUACUGAUGAAUCUGUUUAAUUGUGGCUUCUACCACUAGACAGUAAGCUACACACAAGGCUUACAACUAUUUUGUGCAUCGGAGUAUACUCACCAUUUAGCAUAGGACUUGGCACAUGGUAGACAAUCAACAAGUGCAUAAAUUAUGUGUACCUCUGCUCUCAUCCACUGCCUUGGAUAAUGAUAAGUGCCUACUUCUCAGGGGCUGGGAGGAUUCUAUACUAUGGCAAGUGGAGGAAUGAGAGGUGAACCACAGAGACUGAUCAGAUCUCUGCAGAUGAGGCCAGCAGCCCUAGGGUAGAUAGAUCUCUUGUUGACUAUCCUCUGCCCAUCUCUGGCUGCAUCUAAUCAUAAUACCGGGGGCACAGGCCGCAGAGUGAUCCAGGGCUGCGGAUAAGAGGAGAACACUUCAAGCAGGGAAAUCACAGAAUAAGAGAAGAAUAUACAUCAUUAGAACUUACAGAGGAAGGACCAUGUGAAGACACAGGGAGAAGACAGCCAUCUACAAGCCAAGGAGGGAGGCCUCUGAAGAAACUAAACUUGCCAAUACCUUCAUUGUGCACUGCUAGCCUCCGGAACUGUGAAAAAUACACUUUUGCUAAAGUCAAAAAUAAAAAAUAAGAAGACAUAAUUGAUAGGAAAAAAUUUAAAUUAUUAUUAUUAAAGAUUUUAUUUAUUCCGAAAAAAAAUAAAGAUUUUAUUUAUUCCA